rnacentral:rRNA from 1 species
UACGAAGGAGGCUAGCGUUGUUCGGAAUUACUGGGCGUAAAGCGCACGUAGGCGGACUAUUAAGUCAGGGGUGAAAUCCCAGGGCUCAACCCCGGAACUGCCUUUGAUACUGGUAGUCUCGAGUCCGGAAGAGGUGAGUGGAAUUCCGAGUGUAGAGGUGAAAUUCGUAGAUAUUCGGAGGAACACCAGUGGCGAAGGCGGCUCACUGGUCCGGUACUGACGCUGAGGUGCGAAAGCGUGGGAGCAAACAGG